UACGAAGGGGCUAGCGUUGCUCGGAAUUACUGGGCGUAAAGCGCACGUAGGCGGUCUUUUAAGUCGGGGGUGAAAUCCUGGAGCUCAACUCCAGAACUGCCUUCGAUACUGGAAGACUCGAGUCCGGGAGAGGUGAGUGGAACUGCGAGUGUAGAGGUGAAAUUCGUAGAUAUUCGCAAGAACACCAGUGGCGAAGGCGGCUCACUGGCCCGGUACUGACGCUGAGGUGCGAAAGCGUGGGGAGCAAACAGGG
rnacentral:rRNA from 1 species